UAUAGGAUGAGCUUUUGAAGCUGCACUACUUUUUUUUAGUUAUUGUUUUUAUGGGCGGUCCAUGCCUUUUCAUAGUAUUCUCAAAGCAUACUUCGACUAAAAGUCACUCACAGCAACAAAGCAAGUUUGUGGAGGAGCGUCUGCGCGCCAACACUGACCAAACAUGAAAUAUCUUCAGCUUCUUCCUCCUCUGCUCCUCAUCCUCCAGAGCCACGAGGUCCAUAUGAACACAAUUGAAAAGAUCCAGGACUGUGCUUGGAGUUGUUCUGAGGAACUUCCUGAGGUGUCAGGAGGUCUACAGUGUAAACCCAGAGCUUACUCUCCACUGUCAGAAUAUCCCUGCAGAGAUCAGCCUUCGAUCAGCGGCGUGUUCAGUAAUGUGAUGUUGUCGACCGCAUUGGCGUGUGAGGAGAGGAAAUGUUCACUCCAGCUCAGGAUUGCAACAUCAGUGAAUGUUACUGGUGAUAUCCGUGGAGUUUUAGUGUGUGCUGAUUCUGCAGGGAUGAUUGGACAUUGCCAGAUUUAUACAUUUGGCAGAGUUGGAAACGCCACAGGAAAACAGGUUGAUGUGCAGUUUAAGUGUGUCCCUGUUAGACCUGGACAGCAUAUGUUUGUGACUCUCAAAACGAUUCCCAACUACUGUACGGCCAUGCAGUCACAACAGCACAUUGUUCCCGAAUGCAGUCAUGAAGGAAUCAGAGAUUCAAUUGCAGAGUGCAUCACUGGGAAGCUGGCAUACACUGUAGAUAAAGACAGGAAUACAUUAACAGUGAAAGUGACUAAUGCUGGUGAGGACACAGAUUACAAUCUCAGGCUCUGUCAUAAACGCAGUGUUAUCUGUGCAGGGGAAGGGCCACACAGAACGAUAAAACCACAACAUCUGCAGAAAAGCAUAACGCUUCAGUAUUCCAAAGCAUUACCCUGUUUGUGCAUUGAGGGUUGGCCUGCCAGAGCAGAUGCACGGAGAGUUCAAGUGUGUCCAUUCAAAAACAAUUUAGAAGAACUGUGGUCUGGGAUAACCUACGAUUUCAAUAAGGAGGAGCUGAUAUGGGAGCCGCUGUGUCCUGUCAAAGUGUCAGUUUCUCUAUGCCAUGUUGAUGGAGGAAAAAGCUGCCGAGACCUCGGACAAGUUUUUCAUUCAAAGGGGGAAAAAGUGAUAUUCUCCUCUGUGGAUCCACACCCUACUCUUUGCACGAAGUUUACUACUGAAGUGGGGACAUGGAUUAAGUGUCCUUUUGCCAAAGGGAAUUUCUCAGUCUGGACAGCAAAGGUGACAUCAAAAAAUGGUCAGCAGUGGGCAGAGAUAUCAACAUGGGUCAAAGCCAACUUCUCAGUUUCAUUGUGUGAGAUGGAACCAUCUUCUAAAUGCAAACAAAUCGAAGGAAACAAGUCCCAAACCGUUUCUGUGGACAGAAUGAAGUUCACAGUUUUCAACUUGUCUAAAAAUGCAUGUGAAGUGUGUGUUUGCAUCCAGGUCCAGAGGAUAGAUGUGCACUUCUCAGUCCCUGUACUUCAGUGCGACGUGCAGUGUUUAAAUUGGUGUCGUGCCCAGGAGAGAAGUCACUUUCAGGACAUUGAGAAGAUCUUUCUGUCUGCUGUCAUUUUUCUGACAGUGAUCCUGGCAGCUGCCUUGUUUUGUAGAUUGACAAUCAAAGGUAAACUGACAGCGGUUUGACACACCUGUUGCCGCUGGCUUGAAGGAAAUGAUGAGGACAAGAAAAGAAAAGCAUGGAUGAAACUGACAUGUCAGGGGACGAAUCAUUGACAUGUCUGCGCAGCAAGUGAGGAUAUGGAUUAUGGGACGGUUCUCGAUGAAGCAUAUACAUGUCUUAAAGUUUUUGUUUUUUUACUGUAAGGAUUGAAACUUUAGCAUAAUUUGCAUGUCUUGUCUGAUGCACACAUGGAAGUUGUAACAUCUGAGUCAUGCAUUUAAACACAUUUGUUUUCAAUAAUGCAAAAGCUGGUUUUAGAGUUUAUUAGAAUGCCAAAAAAUUACUUUAUUCACAGAUUUUAAAGCAUUUGUAUAUAAAAAAUGUAUGUAAGACCCAUAUAAGACUGCAUUUGGUGUGACUAAUUGUUGCCUGUUAUUUCCUGCAUGGCAUAAUCUAAUUGGUUUGCUAUCUGUGAGCCACUACUUGUGUACAGCAGAGGGCAGUCUCGUUCUCAAAUGAAUGUAGGUAUCAGCAGUGUGAAUUAGCUUUUGCUUCUCAUGUUGAUAUUUCUCUCACGUCAGGCUUGUAACUAGGUCACAAAUGGGUGGUCAGCUUACAGACGCUUGUGUAACCCUGUCUUUUGGUUCAUUGCCAUAGAAACUUUUGCGACUGCAUAUGUUUCUGUGUUGCCUUUGCCGUCUUCAUUGUUUAUAAAUGGCAUACGUCUCUCUGAUCCUGAGGAUGCAGAGGCUGACAUUCUUGGAUUGUGCGGCUCUUUGCUGAUGGAUGGGAGGGGCCUGGUGAAAUCAGCUCUGGGGUUUACUGAUGAAAACAUUCUUGAAGGAUAGAGUAAGGCCCAAACCCAAAUAGAGCUCAAUCCCUGAUAUAGGACAAAUUCAGGUUUGGGGAGAUAUCACCAUCAUCCAUCUCAGUUAGUGAUUCUAUUGUGUUUUUAUGAGCAUAAAUGGGGCGAUUUUUUGAUCAUACCUAGAGUUCACAGGGUUUAGCUCACCGCGUGGUAUGUGGGUGUUAACGCUAGGGAGUUUUGACUGGUGUAAACACUGUAAAACAAACCCAUGUGAAAAUUGUUGGCCCCAAUGACCUCAUUGCUGCCUCCAGACUCCACCUGCUGUCUGCGAGUCUUCAGCUGGGAGUGAAGCAUUUUGAUACUUUCCAUAGGGACCAGACCGCUACCUUUUCUGUACCUCCCCUACAGAAUGUUCGACUGAUUGUGCUGCUGCCGAAACGUGUUUGGGAUAAAGGGAUAAAGCACUGAAAAAAAAAGAAACAGAGACAAAAGCAUUUGCUGAGUUGUUGUAUGUUUAGCUACUUCCACUAGUGACCGCCAGUGACCUUUUUGGUUGGGGUCAACAGCCACCAGCCCUGUCCUCUAACCUUUGGGUUGGUCAGUUUUAUUACCAUGGACUCAUACCAUCUGUGGGUUUUUGAACCUAUAAAUCCCAAAGCAGAGAGUAUAAUUCCAUUCUCACUUCAGAAAAUGCUCACUUGCUCACUCACUAAAAAUCAAUAUACUAGUAUUGAUGUGGAACUUACUUUAUGACUGAUAAAAUUAUAUGUUUGAAAAUUGUAUUGUGUCGUAUGACUGUGUUACAUGAAUGAAAUCCGGACUUACUACAUCCACCAUGCUGUCAUUUGUACCAUUGCUUCACUGUCACAACUCCUCUCCCAUGGCCUCAUAAAGUGUCCAGCAGAUGUGCACUUCAGAAUCUCGAUGGAAGUUAUAAUCUCUGGGUACUUUCCAUGUAUUGUUUUAUGAAUAGGCUUAUUAUGAAGAGUGCACUGUAGGAUGUCCUAGUUUGUAGCUAGUAUUCAUGAAAAAGAAGUAACUAUGUUUUUGCUAUUUCGUGAGGGAAUUUUUGCUUCAGCAAUAAAAGGUGAUA